UGUUACACAUUCUCUCGCCCUCCCCGGGAAACCUCUUGAGCCUUCCUCUUCGUUCUUUCACGUCUUGAGCGCGUGAACUUGAAUUUGGAAAUGCUGGGAGAGAUUCGAGGUUAAGAAGCUCAAUGUUUAUUUGUCUUCAUCCCCCAGCGUGAUCAUCUUCCGCGUGAUCACAGUCCACCGUAUGAUUCACUCGCGUUCUGUACGAUUACCGCCUAGGAAUCUGUGUGUAUCAAGGUUGUAUGCCGCUUCUGUAGCAAACAAAAAAAAAACAGUCCUGAUCUGUGUAGUGGAAGAUCAGCAGGAUCAUGGAGCAUACACAGGCACGUGAAGAAGGUUCGCGGCUGCUUCUGUCGCUCUGGCUCUCGUGAUCGAUUCGUUAUCGAGUGCAGAUCAUUAUCACCCAUUAUCAAGAGGCGGCUACCGUCCAGUUGCUCAAACACGACACACCAACAAGUAGCUUGCUUGCCUUCGCUAUCGAUAGGCUGGGCGACAUUGUAAUGACCUUGCGCCAUAUGCCCCUGGUCGUACUAGCCUGAGCUAAGUGUAUAACAACUCCAAAGAGUGUCCGGGGAGCAAGCACGGCUCCACCGGACACUCUUUUGAUGGAAAAAAUAAUAAUAAAUAGACUACAUUUUGCCCGUCUCCUCUUCUUGUAGAAAAGUGCGGUGCAAUGCUAAUGAAUGGCAAGCAAAAGCAGCGCGUUGUUUCAAGUAAUUGUCACCUUACUGUUAGCGCGUAGUAAAGCCGCGCACGGGUUCAGGAUGUGUGUAGUAAAGCCAACGCACGAGACGACGUCAAGCUGCCGAUGUGUCCCAUUAACGAUCAGUUGUGAAAUAGCAUUCGUCGGAAAAUAAGACACGACAAGUCCAAAAAGUGGUUAACGGUUUAACUUUUGUUCAAACUGGUCAAUGUUCCGGAAAAGAUGACUUGAGGUUAUUAUUCUGCUCUGUCCAAGAGUUCGCGCAUCGCGUUAAAUGCAACUGAUGAUUGCAAAACGUAAUGCAACGCGCUAGAAAAGCAAAGAGACCUGCACAUUUUGUGUCACCCGCGUCAUACAAAUUGUUUUCAUUUUCUUUGCACUGCACACGCUCGAGAAAGAGUUGGUCAAACCAUUCCCAGUUGGCCCAAAAUUCGAAAUGUUGUGACAUGUCGCGGCUGACGCGCUGUCAGCGUGCUAACGACCUCCAACACCCUCGACGAUGGACGAAAGAGCGCACUUAUCUACGUCGAAGUGCUAAAAACAUGCAACAAAUAAUUACGUACAUCUUGUAGUAAUAAACAAAGUUGUUUUGCAUAUCAACCACCGACAGUACAUUAAAGUGUUAUCAUAGAUGUUUUUUUUUUUCGUUCAUUGCAGCACUCCGCACUAUAAAAUGCAUCUGUGACAAGGCAAUAAUAAAGAGCCAUUUAGAUACGCCAGGUAUGCACAAACUCCACCACGUAAAUACCCGGGGAAGCGCGUCCUUUACCGCGCAAAAACGCAUAUUACUGCACGGCCCAGCCAAAACACACAUAGCCCAACACAUACACACGAAGAAACGAAGCAAGUAAGCGCGAUCAUCAUUUGCAUUCUUGAUAUGCUGUAGAGUUUGCCAACUGCCGAGAACUGGUGCCGAACGAACGAUAAGAAAUUAGCCUCUCCUCUCCUCACCGGCGGCGUUCGUAAUAGAGAUUCGGUUUUGAGCGACACCGACAGCAAUAACAAUAAAAAAAGAACCGCGACAUCGGGAAGACGCAAAUGCGCGAUCACGCGCUACGUGCGUGAUUCUGAUUGCCGCGGUCCGCGCCGGCCUGUUGCGCCUGCCCGUGCAUUCCGUGUAUAACCGGUGGGUGGAUGGGAGGGCAUCAUUCCCGCACGGGACCGCAUACCGGGCGGGUCUUUGAGUCGUGUCUCGCGGUGUGGUAGAACAAACGGUCGUGGACGCUUUUAAUAUGUUUGUUGUGUAGGUAUAUUAUUGGUUUAUUCACUUCACACAACGGCCAAAAGCGUCAUCCAAAAGUUCUAAACAUUUUGUGUAUGCGAAUGAUACACACAAGGGAAUGGGAAUGAGAUUACGCUUUGCUAUAGCGGGAUCAUAGGCUACAGAUGAGAUUUGAUACACAUCCGGCAAUGUCAUAACGCAAGGUCCUAUCCAUUAGACCACGGAGACAUUCCACAUACGACAGUGAAGCAAGGAGUGCUGGUGAGGUUUGUAAAUAACCUCGCGUUCGAGUUUAAAAAAAUAAAUAAUACUCAAACAGACAUGCAUACACACAGCCAAAUGUUUGCAAGAAAUCAUGUGGGUGAGCAGAUGGCAGCAGCAGCAAUCAGACGGCAGUGUUUUUAUUGAAAACACACGAGCAAAACGUUGAAAAUAACAACACUACAUUAAAUCCAUGAUGUAGAAAAACCUUGAAAUGAAAAAAAUACAUCACUCUCACAUAUUAGAGAUUUGAAAAGCAAAUGCUUGAAAAAGCACGAAUGUAUCCCUCUUCCUCUCCCGCGAGGAUGUUUGAUGCUUCUGGAUGGCACAAAACACCAUGAUCUCGCACACAUACUUGAGGGAGAGGAAUGAAAAGGUAAUUAAAAUUAAAAAUAUUUUUCCUGCAACAGCGCAAACUCAGCUGAACGUGAUCAUCUUGUGUGAUCUGCGAAAAAACGUGUGGCACCCACCCAGCGCAUCACACUACCGCGCUCCUCAAUAAGUUGUUUUGUGUUUUUGCCUAUGAACAUUUUUCUAUAUAGAUUGCUAUAGCCAUUGCUUGAUCGUCUGCUGAUGCUUUUUGGGGGGGUUAAUUUAAUUCCCAGACAACAACAUACACUGCCCGGUGUGGCAGGCAAAAUAAAAGUCAACUGCCAGUUGGUGGUGCGCCUAGCUGGCUAUUUCCGACAUUGCGUUGCCAAUUGAACGAAGCUGUGCACGAGCCGCCGCCACGGCUUGGCACGUGCUAUAACACCGAGGGAGAGAGCAAAGUGCAAUGAAAAACAUUUCAGCCUAAUUAAUAGCACCGUUUUGGCUGUAACAAGUGGUUUCCAGUUUUGGCAGUGUUCUUUGUUGGCAUAAAGAUCACACACAUACAAACAGAAGCGGUAAAGGGUAAAUAACAGUUUUCUAGCGCAUUUUGCAAAGAAUUUCUGGAAUUGUUGGACAAGAAGCACUGUUCAAUGCGAAUGAUGCAACAUUUCGAGCAAUAUGUUAAUACUUCACACGAGAUGAUUCAAAGCAUCUACCUUUGAACGUUCAUAUUACGUUGUUUUCUUCCGUCUACCAUUGAAUAAACAAACAGAUGAGGAAAACAAAACCCAGGCGCUUGUGUUUGGAGCGAGACCACUAGCGCACGACGCUCUUAUCAAUCAAUCAUCGUCACAGCAUCGAGUUGACCAGUUAAGUGGUAAUGACAGCUUACGUCUAUCGAAGAAAUUCAUCUUAUAAGACACAAUCUGUCAAACCAGAGUAUAAAGGCUAAAUUUGCACGUCUUACUAUGCCACUAUGCUUACUAAUGAUGAGUGAUUGGGAUGAGUACUCGUACCUUCUUGUAUGAAGGGUUGUUUCGAAAGCUUUUGGAUUAAAUGUAAUAUUUAAAGUAAAAUCCAAUGGCUAAAAAACUCACACUAACGGCAGCGCCACAUCAGUCGCAAAGCGCACGUUCUAGCUAACGAGUAAACAAGUUAAUCUACUGAAUUGAAACGUUUCGACGGGCACGUGCUUUUUCCAUCCGUUCGUAGAAAAAAAAGAGCUGAACGAGUUGAAAAUAGAAUGAGUUGGUGUGUUUCUCUUUCCUAUGACAUCUUUCUGCUGUUGUCUUUUCGACCAUUCUUUUUAAACAAUUAGCAAACCCAGAUCCUUGAUCCUAAGAGUACAAGGCUCUAUUUGAACGGUUUAAUUUUAACGACCCACACACACAGACACACAGUUCAACCCACACAAAUUACCGGCGCGAGAAAAUGGCAAAUGUGCAAAACAAUGAGAAACGAAAAAAUAAAAAUCUUAUCAAAACAAAGGACCAGACAAAACGAAGCACCGAAAUUUGCUUUACCAUCCAUGCUGCGCUGUACCACCCACGACAUGCGUACAUUGGCUCAACUUUUUUUGUGCAGGUCAUUUAAAGUUAAAAAUAAAAUAAAAAGAUAAUCCUCCUCCCACACUAUACGCAGAGCACAGCGCACGAGUGAAAAAUUCUGACCUUCAGCCGGAAGCAAGCAGAAGCAUAACACCAUUUUUUUUUUCAGCCAGCGAGAUAUCCAUCAAUGUCACGCGCAGGAAAAAGUACACAAAAGUUCGCUUCCACCCACCCCAGGGAUGCAAAGUGAACCACACAUCGCGUCACUUGACACGGAAUGUAAUUUUGCCUCUGCAUCACUGUUGUACAGAAAAUUAACCAUCCUAUUGGAAUCCUAUAUGAGUAAAAGGCGGCACCGAAAAACAACCUGUUGUCCAACCAAAGCCAUCAGUGCGACACUGUGGUGUGAUAAUAAUUUGCGAGCUUAAAUCAUUAUGGGCCUUGACCGCGGCCAAGGAGCAGCCGGUAGCCAGCCGUCCGUCGGGGUGUCAUAUUAACAUUUAAUUGAGUUAAAUCAUAUCGAAUGACCUACCGGGCGCCAAGCGAUUAGAGCAGGAGUAGAGUGGGUAAUCGAAAGGAGAUUUUGCCACUGCUGGCCAAAUGAGAGGAAAAGGGUUAGACGACAACAGCACGGCUGCUGAUUAAAUCCGAAACCAUGGAUAAAAUUAAUUACAUCACUGAAUGGUGGCCGGAUGAUGGUUUUGAUACUAAAUAAUCAGCAGUGUCGCCAGAAGGCGAGCUGGCGGCACCGAAUUAGUGACUUGCGGUCUGUUCCCUGAUAGCUUCAGCAUAGGUUUGGGCUAGCUGUUGUAUAAUAGUGAGUAUAACACUAUUAGUGACAGUAGAAAAGUUACUGUUUGCUUUGGAUUAUUUAUACUAUUUUAAUGAUCUUAUUGUUUAAAUAUGGAGUAAACGAAACAUUGUUUCGUUGUAGAUGACCUGAUAUUACACAACUUGUAGAUAAGGCGAUCUUUAGUUGCUUCGAGUCAUUAAAGAGUCAUGUCAUUAAUGGCAUUGCAGUAAAAAAUACAUUGGUUAGUGGAAAAAUCAAAGAAAUACUUAAGCUGCCCAACACAUCAACUCGACAGUAAACUCAAUUAACGUACGAUGUAAUGAUUUAAUUGUCCCGCACAAGGACAAUCGAACGUUUUGGGGUCAGUCAUGAAAUAAUCACUAUCAAAGUGAUCUCCACAACUCAAAGCAGAAGAUAAAAAUAUCUCUCCACACAGGUAAAAAAAACUCCCAACGCAAGCCUAUAAAAAUUCCUCAUCAAGGCGAUCGCUCAUUCUAAAAUCCCACUGCAACCGGUAUGGUUGGAACGUGACCGAUGAGGGGAGGGCGGAGGGUGUGCAUUGCGCAAGAGGCAUCCGUUGAGUGCACGGACGUGUCGUGUGGUCAGAAAUUCCAGCACAGAGCACAGCGUCAGAGCAAAACGACGCAAUAAGCUUUUCGACGGAGAAACAUCGAUCAGAAGACGACGAUCAGAAGGUGUUUUAGUCCCCCUGCGUACUAACAAAAAAACUGUACUACAUGCGACAGAAAUACUUACAGCUCCUUGGCAUACAGGUCAUGCGGGAUCGAGGUGCAAACACCUGCACCAUCGCCGGUAUCGUUAUCACAGGCGCACGCACCUCGAUGGUUCAUGCGUAUGGCAAGCGUUUGAGCAUCGCGCAGGAUCUACAAAUGGGUAGUGAAAGAAAUUUGUGAAUUAUGGUGUUUAUCUACAAAAGCUCAUACGCUCAUCGAUCAUACCUUAUGGUUCGGUUUGCCUUCGAUCGACACGAUGAAACCGACGCCGCAGGCCUCAUGCUCGUUCUGUGGAUCGUACAAUCCCUGAGCGCCCGGAGUCUCCCAGUCCAUCUGCGUCUUGGAAGCAUCGUUCUCGGUCGAUCGUUGUUGGGCCAGCUCCUCCGUGGCGGUGGCCACAUUGUUAAUUACCUCGUACGAACACUCAUUGUUGGGUGGGGCCAUUCUAAACGGCUUGGUUUUUAAGGAGAUACUUUUCAAGCGGUGCUUUUAAAAGGGUUUCUGCACGAUUCAGUGACUUUCACUCAAACUUCUGAUGCACCAAAACUGCACAACUGGCACAACGUAUUUUUCAGAUCACUUAUAAACCAACCGCACUGAGAUAAUGUAGGGAUAUAUUAAUGUUUUUAAACAGUUUAAUUGUAGCUUUCUAACACUAUCAACGACUAAAUAGCAACUUCACAACACUGGCACGCACUGAGGACCGUUCAGCAAUAAUCACUCGUUGUACUUGGUACAGCAAUAUGUAGGUAACACACGAUCGAUGCACAAUUGUUGUACAGAUCUUCUAGCACGCCACUAACGAAACACUCUGCAGUCCAAGAGCAACAAGGAUAAGAGACUACAGCGUUGUAGCAGCGCUCACGGAAGACUUGGGAUGUUGAAGUAGCGAAAGGAGUACGAGAUUAACGUGUUGAAUGCUGAAACGAGGGAAGAAAAAGGAACAAAACAUUACUCAUCAAAGAUUCAAAAUUCAAGGUUAGGUUAGUAUUAUGAUCACUAAUUAAACUAUUAUUUGACCCGAACUGGCAUCGCGCGGCCGAAUGAUUACGGUUGACAGUUUAUUUAAGCCGUAUAAUUGCUGAAGAUCAAGUAAGUGAAAUUAAUUGCCUCAUUAGCAGGAUCGUUCACUGGCAGUUUGGACCAGCCAAGACCAGAAGUGUACAUGAAUAAGCGACCCGGUAGUGAUAGAACGGUUCUUUCCCUCAGAUUGCAUCCUGCUAUUCUUGGACGAAAGCAUGAUUUGCUAUUUGCGGCUGUAACAGCGCCUAGUUGGUGGCAUUGAGAGAAGCACGUGCCGAUAAGAAGUGGAGCAACGUUGUCUUCUUCCUGCUGGCUCAACUUUGGCGCAGCUCCACCCAUGGCCCUUCAGACUCAAGACGGAACUGCGCGCCAGAGGAACAACUGGGAGAAGGUACUCGGAACGGGCACCGGAGCAAAGGGCUGAUACGAAUGAUUGCGGUAAACAUGGUUGUUUGCAGCAUUUGAUAAUGCUGCUGUGGACCUCACGUGAAGGCAUCAAAACAAGUGAAGAUGAAAAUAAAAUUCAAAUGUAUUUCAAUCAUCAA